GCAGCUGCCUGAGGCUGGGUGGUUUCAACUUUCAGGCAACUCUUUGAAUGUGGGAUUUUUAUUUCAGUUUAUAUCUCCCAAGUUUCAAUACGAAUAAGCUCUAAGACUCGAAGCAAAUCUCAGCAUACUGAAGUUUAGUAAUGGUUCCAUCUAAAACCAGACAUUAUCCAUAGUGUGUGCAAGAGGUGACCCAGGUUGAUGGAAAGACAUUGAGACGUCCACAAACCAUUUAAGGAGCCUGAGCUGCAUAUCGAACUGUUUUAUUUUUUAAGAAAAAGUGGUGAGUUUUGCCUGGCUUUUUGUUUUGCUGUCAUGAUUGUACACAAAUGAAACUAUAACUAUAUAUUUUAUUAAGGGAAUAUGUUUGCUGUUUGCCAGUUUUGAUCAUAUCCACCUUAUGGUUGAAC
rnacentral:lncRNA from 1 species